rnacentral:rRNA from 1 species
UAGGGAAUAUUGGACAAUGGGCGAAAGCCUGAUCCAGCCAUGCCGCGUGAGUGACGAAGGCCUUAGGGUUGUAAAGCUCUUUUGGCGGGGACGAUAAUGACGGUACCCGCAGAAUAAGCCCCGGCUAACUUCGUGCCAGCAGCCGCGGUAAUACGAAGGGGGCUAGCGUUGUUCGGAAUUACUGGGCGUAAAGCGCACGUAGGCGGAUCAGCAAGUCAGGGGUGAAAUCCCGGGGCUCAACCUCGGAACUGCCUCUGAUACUGCUAGUCUAGAGUCCGGAAGAGGUGGGUGGAAUUCCUAGUGUAGAGGUGAAAUUCGCAGAUAUUAGGAAGAACACCGGUGGCGAAGGCGGCCCACUGGUCCGGUACUGACGCUGAGGUGCGAAAGCGUGGGGAGCAAACAGGAUUAGAUACCCCUGUAGUCCCUGAGCGGGCUGGCAAGGCGCAU